rnacentral:pre_miRNA from 1 species
UUACUACUCCCUCCGUCCCAAAAUCCUUGUCUUAGAUUUGUCUAGAUACGGAUGUAUCAAGUCACAUUUUAGUAUUAGAUACAUCCGUAUCUAGACAAAUCUAAGACAAGAAAUUUGGGACAGAGGGAGUACUAC